UGGGGAAUCUUGCGCAAUGGACGAAAGUCUGACGCAGCCACGCCGCGUGAGUGAAGAAGGCCUUCGGGUCGUAAAGCUCUGUCGAGCGGGACGAAAAUGCUUACGGUGAAUAGCCGUAGGUACUGACGGUACCGCUAAAGGAAGCACCGGCUAACUUCGUGCCAGCAGCCGCGGUAAUACGAGGGGUGCAAGCGUUGCUCGGAAUUAUUGGGCGUAAAGGGUAGGUAGGUGGUCUGAUUUGUCAGGGGUGAAAGCCUUGAGCUUAACUCAAGAAGUGCCCCUGAAACGGUCAGACUCGAGUCUUGGAGAGGGUCGUGGAAUUCCCGGUGUAGCGGUGAAAUGCGUAGAGAUCGGGAGGAACACCAGAGGCGAAGGCGGCGACCUGGACAAGCACUGACACUCAACUACGAAAGCGUGGGGAGCAAACAGGAUUAGAUACCCUGGUAGUCCACGCCGUAAACGAUGGAUACUAGACUUGGCGGUCUUGACCCCUGCCGAGUCGGAGCUAACGC
rnacentral:rRNA from 1 species